rnacentral:rRNA from 1 species
GUGCACGCUGGCGGUAGGCCUAACACAUGCAAGUCGCACGGCAGCACAGUAAGAGCUUGCUCUUACGGGUGGCGAGUGGCGGACGGGUGAGGAAUACAUCGGAAUCUACUUUUUCGUGGGGGAUAACGUAGGGAAACUUACGCUAAUACCGCAUACGACCUACGGGUGAAAGCAGGGGAUCUUCGGACCUUGCGCGAUUGAAUGAGCCGAUGUCGGAUUAGCUAGUUGGCGGGGUAAAGGCCCACCAAGGCGACGAUCCGUAGCUGGUCUGAGAGGAUGAUCAGCCACACUGGAACUGAGACACGGUCCAGACUCCUACGGGAGGCAGCAGUGGGGAAUAUUGGACAAUGGGCGCAAGCCUGAUCCGGCCAUACCGCGUGGGUGAAGAAGGCCUUCGGGUUGUAAAGCCCUUUUGUUGGGAAAGAAAAGCAGCAGGUUAAUACCCCGCUGUUCUGACGGUACCCAAAGAAUAAGCACCGGCUAACUUCGUG